UCAAAGGCUGUAACAGGGAGAUGGAGCAGGCCUGUGCUGGGAGAAAAAGCUUGAGCACAAAUAUACAGAACUGAGGAAAACCUGUAUAUGAAUGGUAGUGAAGGCAGACUGGUUGGUGCUUACAGAGGGAGCAGGGGGAGGUAUGGUAUAAAAGUAAGCUGCAGUACUCAUUUCACAGGACUUUCUGGUGGCUAUGUCUAUGUUUCAGAAGCAGCAGCCAGAUACUGUUGGUCCCUGGCUCAUUUGCACAGUCUAGGGAUGAGUGGAUUGGUGACUCUUCCAGCCCACUUCCUCUUCAGGACCCAUUUUAAAUAUGUGCCGUUGCUGUCCUGCCCAGUGAAACCCAGCAGAUUCUGUGAAGGGCUGACAACCUAAGGAGAAAGAGGUCAGUUCAGCCUUCCUAUUCAUCAAGGCUGAUUCAUUAAUGAUUAGUGCCAUUAGGUGUACUACAGCAGUGCCUGAGGGCCCCAAUUAAAGGAAAGUGAGGUUGUUAAAUCCAGAAAGCCAGAUUCUCCCUCUGUUACUCCUGCCUGAUGCAGAGGUAGUGUACCCAGGGUGGGCAGCAAGAAUAAACCCGGCUUUCUAGGUAUGCAGCCUCUGUGCCUUUCCCCCUCACUCCUCCCACUUUUCCCUCUCCUUCACCUUAGCUGCAGAUCUUGCCUACAGGGUGCUGCAGAGCGAGGCUAGUGCAGGAGUUGGCUACCAGGACUCGCAGGAGGAGGUGGCAAAUCAGGUUAUUUUUCUGAGCCACUUCAUUUUUCAUCACAAGUGGGUUUGGGUGGUUUUUUUUGGUUUAUUGGGGUUUUUUUGUAGGUUUUCUUUUUGGCAGGGUUGGGGGCAGGCGAAGUGAUAAGGACUGCAGAGGAGUCUGUUACAAAAUCAGAUACGAUUUUAGCUGUCUGAAAGAGUUCCUUUAGGCUACAGGCAGCUGAUGAUCAAUGGUGCUGUUGGCAAAUGUGCUUCCAGCUGGCUGCUGCCUUUCUUGAGGGACAGUUUCAAUCCAAGGCUCAUUGCAAUCGUGAUACCACAAGGGGCAUUCAUUUACUUUGGGCUAAGGAUCUUCUGCUGCCCAGUUCCACCAGUGCGAAGAAAAGCUGGAGGUGAUGUGGGAGAGUGACAACAGCACUGUUAUUGGUGAGUUAUUGGUUGUUCCUUUCCCCUCAGAUUCCCAUGGUGGGUCUGUGUAAAAGAUUUCACUCAAAGCCCCAUACUCCUGAACUGUGGGUUUGCUAACAGAUGGGCAGAUUGUGCUAGCAUAGGCUUUGCCUUUCAGGAGGUACUGAAAAAAUAGGUUUAAGUGCUUUAAAUUACCAGAAACCCAGCCUGUGGCCUGUGGCCUAGCUUUUUAGGCUUUAUUGUUUGUUUUAUUUUGUUUGUUUGCUUAUCUCCAAAGCUGAUAUAAAACAAAGACUGAAACAACCUCCUGAAGGUCAAGGUGAGACUGACCAUCAUCUGAGUGCUGAUAUUCACCAGCAGCAAUAAAUCCUUGUUCCCAGGCGCUGGAAGUCUCUUCAGCUAGAAAAACAACAUUACUGCAGGGCCAAACAACUAGUCCUGGCCUUUACACAGCCAUUCUUUGGGAAAAAGUAUCGCCUGAAGUCAAUAUGCAUUCUGCCUAGCUUUCAUCAGAAGAAAAAUGCCUGAAUUGAAGUGACAACAACAAAUAAUAGGUGUUGGUGAUUUGCACUCUCUCCACCUAAAUCAGAUAUCUGGCACAUCAAUACUUAGAAGGCUUAGGAGAAGAAGAAAACAUCAAUAUUUCACUGAACACACAAAGUCGCACAACUCCCUACAACUCCCAGUCUCCAUUUUAAUGUCCACCGUGGUUAGUUUGUUUUGGUCUUUUUCUGUCAGAUGACUGAUUUCAGUCUCUCUUUGAAUCCCAUCUGUGUGAAUAGCUUGUUUUUCUCCCUAGCAAGUGUUAACAAGGAACUGCAAGGAUUUUGUUCAGGCUCACCAGUCAGGCAACCCUGAGGUGGUUGACUUCUAGGAAAAGCCACAGCAGGAACAAGCGAGAGCCAGCCUACGCACCAGGCACAGCUUUUGCUGGUCUUUAGUUUAUGUUCCAACUCGUGCUCGUGUUAAAUGAAUCGCCAUUAGCAACUGCAAUACAGACAAAUGCAAGGAAGAACAAGCUGGACGCUUUAUCACGGAGCUACGCUUGGAAGUGAUGGCCCAUUGUAACACAGACUCAUCCACCACAGUGGAGCUGUUCCAGCUCACGGCAAUUUAGGACUUGCUGCGUUCACUUUAACCCCUGCUCUGAAGUUCCUGAUCUUAUCCUUUAUGUGAACUAGAUCAUGCAAAUGGGGGCACUGGAGUCGCAGGGAAGUUGAGUAGAGUUCCGCAUGAGCACUGGUGUGAGAAGGAGCAGCAAUUAGCUCUAAACUCACUCUGCUGGCCUGUCGUUUCCGAGCUCUGCCCCUGCUGCUCUGUAACUGGAAGACUUUCGCUCUAGAAGAUGGGGAGAAGAACAUUUUGCUCAUGCUCAUAUUAAUCAAGUCGUCUUAUGAGCUACUGAAUCUGUGAAAUUGUAUCUCCCGUGGAGUUCAGUGGUAAUGACUGUCUCUGAUGUGGACUCUCUGGUGUCUAAUAAUACAGUUUUGUUUCUGCAGUGAAUGCACUCCUAGCAUUUUUUCUCCUCUGUCUGCCUACUUCCACAGCACUUGUAGGCAGUUUAAACCUUUGAAACUUCUAUCCCCUGUCAAGUUUGAUCAAACUCAACUCACAAGCUCAAAAAAUUAUUUAGGAGGGACCGACUGGCACUUGCACAAGACAGUGUGAUCUCAUAAGCUUCCUUUCCUUGGGAAACUAGGCUACCAACCUAGCAACGGGGGGAAAAAAUGCCAUCCUGCUAGCAAAAAGGACCUAAACACUUGGAGGAAAAAGGAGAGAUGGGAGAGGAAAGUGAAGCUGUUUUGAAGGGAAAAAAAUAACUGCCUUGUGGUUGCAGAGCUCUCAUACACUUAAAGGGCCAACCUUGGAGAAACAUGCUGGAGAAAAUGUUCUCCAGGAGAUGAUAAGUUCUCGUGAAAAUUGGUAAGGGAGAGAAAUCACCUGGACUCAUCAUACCACCAGGCAUGCUAAAUGGAUAUCUAUAUGGUAAGAAUUGUCCCCAGUGGUACCUGUUUCUCUCUGUGGACUAGAGGAAGCCACAGAUACAACUAGCAUGCAACUCAUGUGCCUGCAGUAUCUAAAACAAGGUGGAUCCUACCCCAAAGGGAAUGGUCUUCUUACCACUCUGUCUUUCAGACCAAAGUUUUCCAUGGUGCUGCUGCAGGUUUUGUUACUUCAUGUACUAGGUUUGUAUGUUAGAAAAGCUGUUGUAUGUCUUAAUAGCUGCAGAUGCAUGCAUGGUUUUACUGGGCAUUUAUUAGCACUUAUCCUCUUUGCACUAAAACCUUUCUUGUUCUUGUACCUUAUGGAAUAAAAUUCUUUAAGUGAG